rnacentral:rRNA from 1 species
AUUGAACGCUGGCGGCGUGCUUAACACAUGCAAGUCGAGCGGUAACAGGUGUAGCAAUACAUGCUGACGAGCGGCGAACGGGUGAGUAAUGCUUCGGAAUCUUCCUCGUAGUGGGGAAUAACCUGGGGAAACUCAGGCUAAUACCGCAUAUGAACUACGGUUGAAAGCAGGGGAUCGCAAGACCUUGCGCUAUGAGAUGAGCCGAAGUCGGAUUAGCUAGUUGGUGAGGUAAAGGCUCACCAAGGCGACGAUCCGUAGCUGGUCUGAGAGGACGACCAGCCACACUGGGACUGAGACACGGCCCAGACUCCUACGGGAGGCAGCAGUGGGGAAUAUUGGACAAUGGGGGGCAACCCUGAUCCAGCAACGCCGCGUGAAGGAAGAAGGGCUUUCGGGUUGUAAACUUCUUUUGGCAGGGACGAAACAAAUGACGGUACCUGCAGAAUAAGCUCCGGCUAACUACGUGCCAGCAGCCGCGGUAAU